rnacentral:rRNA from 1 species
CCUACGGGAGGCUGCAGUGGGGAAUAUUGGACAAUGGGGGGAACCCUGAUCCAGCCAUGCCGCGUGUGUGAAGAAGGCCCUCGGGUUGUAAAGCACUUUCAGUGAGGAAGAACGCCUGGUGGUUAAUACCCAUCAGGAAAGACAUCACUCACAGAAGAAGCACCGGCUAACUCCGUGCCAGCAGCCGCGGUAAUACGGAGGGUGCGAGCGUUAAUCGGAAUUACUGGGCGUAAAGCGCGCGUAGGUGGCUUGAUAAGCCGGUGUGAAAGCCCCGGGCUCAACCUGGGAACGGCAUCCGGAACUGUCAAGCUAGAGUGCAGGAGAGGAAGGUAGAAUUCCCGGUGUAGCGGUGAAAUGCGUAGAGAUCGGGAGGAAUACCAGUGGCGAAGGCGGCCUUCUGGACUGACACUGACACUGAGGUGCGAAAGCGUGGGUAGCAAACAGGAUUAGAUACCCUUGUAGUC